GCCUGAGAAGUGGUUUGAGCCUGACAUAUUUUCCUGAGCUAAAAAUUUAUUUUCCCCUUUUAAACUUCCCUGCUGCCCCAGUCUUUGCCUUCUUCUUAGUGGAUCCCUUGGGUUCUGGCUCCUUGCGCUUAGCUGAAGAGAGUGAGCCGGUCACCUUGAAGAAAUCAUCCAGGCGGCCCUGGGUGCUGCCUUGGCGGCUCUUACUCAGCCUCUUGACCCCACUGCGGAUUCGCUCCUCAGAGAACUGCUUUUCACCACACAUGAACUUGAUCAGCUCUUCUUCAUUUGGCUCGCUCCACUUCAGCUCCACAGACUCUGGGUCCAGCACCUCAGGUUCCAAGAAGAGCUGGUGAGCCUCCUUGUGGAGCCAAUUUUCUGGCACAGGGUACUUGUUGGGGUCAAGUCGCCGCACGAUCUCCUCGAUGCUCUUGUGCUUCUGGAUGAGGUCCACAGCCCGCUUGGGCCCAAUACCCCGGAUACUCUCACAGUAGUCACUGCCUAGCAGGAUGCACAGAUCCACAAACUGUUCCUGGUUCAGGCCCAGCUCCUGCAGAAUCCGGCUCAGGUGGAAUUCCUGGAUUGGCAGCUUUUUGGCUUCACUGGCAGUCAGGUGUCGCAUUAGCACAGGGCUGCCGAAGGUGAGGCAGUCCAUGUCCUCGGUAGCCGCAGCAUAGACUUUGCCAGCCUUCACCAGGGCAGCACAGCUGGCCUCUGCCUCACUGGGUGCAUCAAGAUAAGGGAUGCCCAUGAGGCUCAGCAGAUGUUUGCACUCAUCAUUGUGCUGCUUAGUGACCUUCACCAGCCGCUUAGUGAAUUUUUCCACCUCCUGCUCGGCCCCAGCAGCCUGAGCCUGCUGCAGCUGCUUCUCUGCCUCAGCCCGCCGCUCACUGCGUUUGGCCAGCUCGCCUGACUUGAGCUGUGGCGGCUUGCCAUCAAAGACAUACACGGGCUUGAUGCCGUUCUCCAUCAUGCGAAUGGUGCGGUAGAACAUGCCCAUCAGGUGGCUGGUGGUCUCACCCUCCUCAUUCUGCAGCACAUCCCCACCCUGGCGAACAGCAAUCAGGAACUGAUAAAUGCUCAUAGAGGCAUCAAUGGCCACCUUACGGCCAAAGUAGCUCUUGAUGUCAUUCUCCCGGAUGGCACUGGGGGCCACAUCAGCAAUUAGUUUGGCCAGGCCUUGAAUUCCCAUG
rnacentral:lncRNA from 1 species